GCCAGACUCCUACGGGAGGCAGCAGUGGGGGAUAUUGCACAAUGGGGGGAACCCUGAUGCAGCGACGCCGCGUGGGUGAAGGAGCGUUUCGGCGCGUAAAGCCCUAUCGGCAGGGAAGAAGGAGGACGGUACCUGACUAAGAAGCCCCGGCUAACUACGUGCCAGCAGCCGCGGAAAUACGUAGGGGGCAAGCGUUAUCCGGAUUUACUGGGUGUAAAGGGGGCGCAGACGGCGGCGCAAGACAGGAGUGAAAGCCCGGGGCCCAACCCCGGGACUGCUCUUGGAACUGCGCGGCUGGAGUGCAGGAGGGGCAGGCGGAAUUCCUGGUGUAGCGGUGAAAUGCGUAGAUAUCAGGAGGAACACCGGUGGCGAAGGCGGCCUGCUGGACUGCGACUGACGUUGAGGCCCGAAAGCGUGGGGAGCAAACAGGAUUAGAUACCCCCGUAAAG
rnacentral:rRNA from 1 species